GGAACCGACAGCAACGCACUCUACGCGCCUGCGCAGGGUCCCCUCGUCCUGCCCCAGCAGGCACGAAGCCACGCCCCCAAGGACGACCACACGCACGCGCGCUCCGUCACUCGCGGGCACGGACCCUCUCACCCUCACACUGGAGUCGCGAUGCACUGAGGCCCCGCCUCCACGGACGCUAGUACGCUUGCGCACUCUAUUCCGGUGCCUUAACCCGCACUGUAUCAGCCCAACACACGAGGGGAGGAGGCGACGCCCUUUCGGAUAAAGGCGUCCCAGCUUAUUGACAAACCUAGAUACUCCGAGUCCCCCGCCCGCCCCUCGCCGCCUAGUCCCGGGCCCCAGCUGGCCAGGAUCCCGUGGAACUCUGAGACCACAGCGGGGAGACUGCACAUGCGCACACGGAGGCUUCGACGACUCCCAGAAACCACGGCGGCGCGUGGGCGGUGCUGGAUGCGGAGGCGGGCACUUCCGGUCGUGCGGGCCCGGCGGCUCGUGGUCUGACGGGCGGCGUCGUCCGCUUUCCUGGGUGGUGGGUUCCCGACCCCGGCGGGGCGAGGGCGGCGGUGAGGUGUGGGUCGUGCUGGGGCGCGGAGCAUCGUGUUUCUUCAGUCCUGGAAGCAUCGAGGCUGUCCUCGGGAGACUUGUUUGGGCAGUAGAGACUGACACAGGGACGAGAUCCGGGGCCUCUCGUUCCAGCAAAAGCACUUUUUGGGGUCAAAGAUAUGGUUCCUGGAGGAAAAGAUAACAGCCUUAUCUGGAGACUCAUCAUCUUGAAGUAGAGGCCCUGAAGAAGGCAGAUGAGGUGAAAUUGUAACACAUCUGCAGUUUUCUGAGGCACGUUGUCUCCAACAUUUAUUGCUACACAACAAACUCUCCCGAAAAUGUAGUAGCUAGAGCAAGGACCAUUUUAUUAUUUCCUGUAAUUCUGUGGGUGAGAAAUUCAUACUGGGCAUGUGAUGUCUGCUGGGGCUGGAAUACCCAAGAUGGCCUCUUCAUUCACACCUGUGAUACUGAGCUAGAAUAGCUGGGGUCCUAUGUCUAGGCCUCUAUUUUUGCUGCCAGCUGGGUUCCUCAGCUUUAUUCCUUGUUCUCAGAACCUGUCCCUCUUCAAUUGACCCCUUCUUAUGCCCUUUCCAGUGGGAUGGCUCGACUACUUGCCCUGAGUUUCCAUGAGCAUAAAAUAGAAUAUGCCAAGCCUUCUUUCUGUUUUGACCUAGAGCUGGCACAGCAUCUCUUGCAUCACAUUCUGUUAAUUAAAGCAAGUUGUAGACCCAGUGCAGAUUCAAGGAAAGGGAGACUGCAUUUCAUUUCAGCGAGUGAAUUAUCCUGAUAUGCACUCUAAAGAUCUACUAAAGGGAAUCUGUUUUUGAUUCCCUGAGGUAGAGUAUGUCUUCCCUCUUCAUCUGUGGUAAGGCUCUUUUUAACUAGUAAUCCUGUUUCUCAGCAGCAUGUCCUUUUUCCAUUCUGUCUUGUAUAAGGCUCUGUAUUUUUACAAAACACUAUUCUUUGAUACUGCUGUUUCUUUAUUGUAAAUAAAGUCUGAUCAUUUGAAUGCAUGUAUUCAUUGAUGAUUUAUUCACUAACAAACAUUUAUUCCUUUUUUAAAACUGGUCAAGUGUUGCGGGCCCCCAAGAUCACCCCCAG
ensembl:lncRNA